rnacentral:rRNA from 1 species
UAUUGCGCAACGGGGGCAACCCUGACGCAGCCAUGCCGCGUGAAUGAAGAAGGCCUUCGGGUUGUAAAGUUCUUUCGGUGAUGAGGAAGGAGGAUGUUUAAAUAGGGCAUUCAAUUGACGUUAAUCACAGAAGAAGCACCGGCUAACUCCGUGCCAGCAGCCGCGGUAAUACGGAGGGUGCGAGCGUUAAUCGGAAUAACUGGGCGUAAAGGGCACGCAGGCGGAUAAUUAAGUGAGAUGUGAAAUCCCCGAGCUUAACUUGGGAAUUGCAUUUCAUACUGGUUAUCUAGAGUCUUGUAGAGAGGGGUAGAAUUCCACGUGUAGCGGUGAAAUGCGUAGAGAUGUGGAGGAAUACCGGAGGCGAAGGCGGCCCCUUGGACAAAGACUGACGCUCAUUGCGA